rnacentral:lncRNA from 1 species
AUUUUUCCCAUUAUUUUUUUCCAUUUUUUCCCAACUUUUGGGGUUUUUUAUUUUUUUGUUUUCUCUUUUUUUUUGGGGAAUUUUUCCCUUCAAUGAACAAAACUUGAGAACGAAUCCAAUAAAAACUUUGGAGCUUUAAAAUUUGGGAAUUUCGGUUUUUGGGAAGGGACCAAAAUUUGGGAUUUGGGAUUUGGGGGGGGGAAUUUGGGGCAACUCCGAGGAAAUUCAGCCCCAAACUGGGAGCACUGGGAGGGUCCCAGUUCCAAACUGGGAGCACUGGGACAGUUCCAGUCCCAAACUGGGAGGGUCCCAGGCCCAUACUGGUGUUACUGGUGUUACUGGGAGGUCACUGGGAGGGUCCCAGUUCCAAACUGGGAGCACUGGGAUGAUCCCAGUCCCAAACUGGUGUUACUGGGAGGCUCCUAGUCCCAAACUGGGACACUCCCAGUGCCGUACUGGUCUGUACUGGUGUCAGUGGUGUUACUGGGACCAUCCCAGUCCUGUACUGGUUCAUACUGGUGUUACUGGGAGGUCACUGGGAUGAUCCCAGUCCCAAACUGGGACACUCCCAGUCCCAUACUGGUGUUACUGGGACCC